rnacentral:lncRNA from 1 species
UUAUUGUUUUUUUUUGUUUUUUUGCGAGUGAAGUUUAUUGGCAAUUAUGGUCGUAAUUUGGUAGAACCGUCGCCGCCGCUCAGAAGAGAAAGAAAUACUAAAGAAGUAAGGAGCACUAAAAUUUAGCCACUAAUAAGAAAAAAUGUUGGAAAACAUUGAAUAUCUUGCAGUAAAUGGCUAAGAAUGUACUAAGAAAUACUGGGUCUGUAGCCUGCUUGCUUCUGUUGGGGGCAUAUUCCCCAUAUUCAAAGGGUCUACCAUAAAAAUUUGGAUAGAAGCUACUCCCUCUGUCCCAUAUUACUAUUCGUUUUGGUUUUUUUUACAUAUAUAACUUUUGCUAUAUAUUUAUUCAUAAUAAUUUAGGUGCAUACCAAAAGCUACUUAUCUAGAAAAGUCAAAACGAGUAGUAAUUUGGAAUGGAGGGAGUAUAUGUUAAAAUAAUUUGGAUUGUUAUAGGGUUUAGAGUUGGUUGUGUCUAUAAUUUCAACAUAGCUUGGUGGAAAGAUAUAAUGGCAUUAUAAGAAUCCUGUGGUUGGAUUAUACACCAUAAUUCAAGCUGUUUGGAUAGGCUACAUAUUUUUUAAUUCAUUUUUUAAAACAAAUAUAACUGAUCCAGACACUCCAUAAAUGUAGACAUCUUAGGAUCGGUUAAACUUUUAACUUGGUCCAGCAAUACGUAGAAAUAUACAUAUAUUGACAACAUAUGGCUGAUUCAUCAUGAAAAAUACUUUCCAUAAUAUUUAGUUUUCUUUAUUUAAAAGAAUAUGCUUUAAAUAGUGCAAGUCAAAGCGUCGUAUUCGGCAGUGUGUCCAUAUCUUAAAUGACUUACAUUGGAAGGGACUGUUUGCGGCUCAAGAGCAUCAAGCUUGCUCUACCAAAUUCUGCGGCUUUAACUAAAUUGGGUUAUCUUUUAAUUUGGUUCAUGAUAACUUUUUUUAAAAAAAACAAAGUAUAGAUGUAAACACUUAUAUACAUGCGUAUACACUCAAGUACUCAACAACAUGACAUACACACUCUAUUUUCAUGAGCACUUCACAGAGACUGAUGAAAAUGGGCACAUCUCCUAUACCGCUAAAACAAUAGCGCUGUUAACUCCUCAAAUAAAUUUAAGAAAAUUCAAACAUUCGUGCCAGAUCAGAUCUUGAACUUGGUACUUCAGUAGCCGGGUCGAAUGCAAACAUUUGGUGAGACAAAUAUCUUCCUCAAGCUCCGUCUCUGAUACGAACCAUAAUAGAUCUGAUGCAAGAGAUUCAACAUAACAUGGGGGAGAAAAAUUGCGAGCUCUUUUUUUCUUUGGAAGCUCUUUGCAUGAGGCAUGGGUGGGGCCCGUCCCGGCAAGCUCCUACUGUACUGCGGACUCGGAGCUAUGGGCAGUUCCCAUUGCAAGAGGAUUUUGCUCGGAAAAAAAGAGCAACUGCAAGAGGAUCAGAAACGCACGCUGAAGUUUCUGACUGAGCGUGCAGAGGGCUUCUAUCAUUGUAGUCGAGCGGGCCCUGCCGUUAUAAAUUCCUCGCUCCAUGGUCUUUAUGGAUAUGGUCGGAGAGCUUAUCAGAGGACUUGGUCAGACUUGAUGUUCUCAUGUAGCCGAGGAGGAUUUCAAUGCCGAUUGCGAUGGAUAUCUAAGGGCAGUCCCAAUGGGACAUUGAUGAUAGUUUCUAUCCCUCUUGAUUGUCAUGCCAACUAAGCAAUUUGUUGAUGUGGCAAUAGAUUUAUUAUGGAGAGAGAGAAACCAUUUCUUAGAGAGGAAACCAAGUCCUCACGCGCACCAAUAAGCCAAGAAACUAGCGAAUCUGCAUUGGGGAGACCCAAGUAGUUUCUUCUUACUUAUUGCCGGAUCCUUUGCGCUUGCACCGCUGCUACCCAUCACUCGAGCUCCUUUACAUGAUGCACAGAGGAUCUGAUACUAGAAGAGAGAAUGAUUGGUUGGAUUUUUGUUUAGACUCUAGAUAAAAAAAAGUUGCAUUGUGAAGGAUGAUUUCUUGAUACAAUAUUCUAGACUAUAGAAACUAGGUUGGUUUCCCAUUAGGACUGUACUAAGACACCAAAUCUCCGUCGAUUCUCUGGCAGAACGAUAGACGCGCGUUGAUCAGGACAUCACAUCUUUUUUGAGGGUUAAGGCAGGCCAGGGCCCAGGGGGACAUCUUUUUUGGGGGCCUUUUACUGCCUGAAAUACACGGCCUGGUUGGACCAGGCUGGAUUAUGUAUGGGCUCUUGGGAAGAAGUUGGGAUGCAUGCCGUAGCAGACUAGCAGCCCGUCAAGUUUGAAUUUUUGCCACUCCGACAUGCGACCGCUGCUGCUGUUCUCACCUUAGGCCAUCAUCAACGCGAGCAGCCAUGGUGGUUGGCUAAUGACUGGUGGCUCACUCUCAUUAGGAUUCAUGCUCUGGCGGUGGAUAUUCUCAGUGAUGACCACGCAGACGAACUAAUGAUAACGGGAGGCUGGCGGACCACCAUGUCGGUGUGUUCACGGUGGCGGUGAAGGUAACAACGACGGCAACGGAUGUUGAUGCAGAUGUUGGCGCUGAUGGUUGGUGGCUCACGUCUGUCUAUGGACCACAAGCGGACGAUGAGAAGGUUCUAUUCCUAGAGUAACUGCAGGCUAUUCGGAAUGAAUGCGAUGGUCUUUGCCUCUUUGGGUUGUCGCGGGCGAUUUCAAUCUGAUCCUCGACUCGGCGGAUAAAAACAAUGGCAGAGCUAACCGGAGGAACAUAGCGAGAUUUCGCGGAGUGGUGGACGAACUCGAACUCCGGGACAUUCAUCUGCAUGGGCGGCUGUACACUUGGAGCAACGAACGGACGAAUCCAACAAUGGUUAAAUUGGAUCGGGUGCUCACCUCCGUGGACUGGGAGGAGCGAUUUCCAUUCUGCUUCCUCAGGCUCUAUCCACAGAAGGAUUCGACCACAGCCCACUAUUAUUACAGUCGAACGCGGCACUCUCGCCUAAGCCAAGAUUUCGGUUUGAAGCUUUCUGGCCAAAAUUGGAGGGCUAUCUGGAGGCAGUUUCACGAGGUUGGCGCUGCACUGAUGACACGGCGGACCCAUUCCGACGCCUGGACAGCAUGCUUAGGAAUGUGGCUCGUCAACUGCAGAGUUGGGCGGACAAGAAAGUUGGCAACGUCAGACUUCAGCUCAUCCUCGCUCGGGAACUCAUCCUACGGUUUGAUUGUGCGCAGGAAAGAAGGGCACUAUCUGAGGAAGAGACAGAAUUUCGCAAACAACUCAAGGUUCUGUGCUUGAGCCUGGCGUCUCUGGAACGAACCAUCGCCCGGCAGCGUUCGCGGAUCCUCCAGCUGCAAGAGGGCGAUGCAUGCACCAAGUUCUUCCAUCUGCAUGCCAGUUACAGACAGCGCAAGAACUACAUCGUCAGCCUGCACGAGGACGAGACGGAUGCCACGGUUUAUUCUCAGGAAGAAAAAUCAGAACUGCUGUAUGUGUACUUUGAGAACCUGUUGGGAACUGAGCACGCUCGCGCAGCAACACUACACCUGGCUAAUUUGGGGGUUGAGCGUCGGGAGAUGCCGGAGCUGGAGCUACCAUUCACUGAAGAGGAAGUUUGGGGCGUGAUUCGUGAACUACAAGGCGCCUGGGCCUGAUGGGUUCACGGCCGCCUUGUAUCAGACGGCAUGGCAGAUCAUCAAGCCGGACGUCAUGCGCCAUCAACGCUUUCUACACGGUGGAUCGACGACAGCUCAGGUGUGUGAAUGGUGCUCUCCUCGUUCUGAUUCCAAAGAUCUUGGACCCAAAGAAACCAAAGGAUUACCGGCCGAUCAGUCUCAUACACAGUUUCCCCAAACUCAUCUCCAAGAUGUUGUCCAAACGUCUGGCGGUGCGACUCGGUGACAUGAUUACCGGCAAUCAAACGGCGUUCAUGAAGGGGCGAUACAUACUGGACAGUUUCAAAUAUGUACUGAGGGCGGCGGUACUGCUGAAAAAGAGGAAGAUACCCAAGAUGCUAAUGAAAUUGGACAUCUCAAAGGCAUUUGACACAGUGGCCUGGCCUUUCCUUCUAGAAGUACUUGAAGCUUGGGGUUUCGGACAGCGUUGGAGAGAUUGGAUCGCUUUGCUACUCUCGACAACCUCAACUAGAGUUCUACUCAAUGGCGAGCCAGGGCAUCCAAUCACACACUGCAGAGGGCUUCGGCAAGGAGAUCCACUGUCGCCGAUGAUUUUCAUACUGGUUAUGGACGCGCUGAACCGCCUGUUCGCCAAGGCUAGCUUGGAGGGCCUCCUUCAGCCAAUGGGGCACAGAUCGAUCAAGUAUCAGUGCAGCUUCUAUGCGGACGACGUGAUCCUCUUCGCGGUUGAUGAGAUGCGCUGCAUUGUCGCUAUUCUGGAGAUCUUUGGGACAGCGUCUGGGCUCAGCACCAACCUAAGCCAGUGCUCCCUUACGCCAAUACAUGGCUGUGAACACACGUUGGAGGUAAUACAAGAGAUUUUCCCAUGUCAGAUUCUACCACUCCCUAUCAAAUAUCCUGAGGAGGCUGCGCGUGGCGAGGCACGUGUAUAGGGUGGCAACAUCCUGAGGAGAUGCCCGACGACUGGUGAGGCGGUGCAGCGGUGGCCGCGUCCAAGGAGCAGAGGUCGAGUGGUGGUGCAUCUGAACGGCGAGCGCAGCGGAGGUGGAGGUACGGUGGUGUGGUGCGUGGAGGCACAGCGGUGGUACCAUCCUGGAUGGGCUGCCGUGAUUGUGGUUCGGAGUGUCAAGCCGUGAGCGUGCAACGAGGGGUUGGGAUACUUCGGGCGAAAGCCCUCGCCAGCGUUCUUGCUGGUGGAGAUGACGGCGGCGCCCUAGGGCAUCAUUUUCCCUAUUGGAGCAUCAUGUCUAAGCUACAACCCUGCUACACGGGUCCUCUAGGUGAAAACCCUGUCCAAAUCUUGGACGAGUGACAACGGUGCCAUUGGUGUCAUGCCCUCCUUAGAGGUGUCGUCUCUAGAGACCCAUCUCAUUUUGUGGCAUUGCUGGUCCAUCGGUCAUGGGCGGCUGCAGCUGGUCGCAGCAAUUCCGCCGCGUGGCAAGCUGGACAGGUGUUGCCGAGGCCAUAUGGAGGCGAUCGCAGUUAUGGUGGCGGCUAGGGGUUGUCGCAUGGUUGUCGAUUUUGGCUGCUUGCAGCAGACUGCGGCGGCUGGCGUUGCUUGGCAACGGUCAGUGUGGUGUAGGAUUGUGUCAGAGGAUGGUGCUUGCGGCAAUGACAUCAUGGGACGACUAGGCUUGCAGCGGACCGCGGCAGGUUGCUAAGCUUGGCUGGGCUAUUCGGUGUGGUACAUUGUUGGAAGACGGCCCAAAUAACUUCUCUGGCUUGUUGACACGGCGGCGGAGGCUAUUUGCGCGGAUGAAGCAACGAGGCAAAGUUGACCUGCGACGGCGGCUUGGCUGAUCGAUGGAGAUCUUGUGGAGCGGGGCAAUAUUGCUCACCACUCUGUCCGUGAUAAAAGAAACGGAUCCAUGACGUGGAGUACUGUGGCGGGUGUCGCGAGGCCCCCGCACGCGGUGUUUCUUCGAGGUGACGAGAGCGAGGUGGAGUCCAACGGCGGAUGUGGCGAGGCCCCCGCGCGUUAUGUUAUCGCGGUGGCGACUACGAGGCAGCCUACGAGAGGUCCGGAUUCGGUGGUACCACUCUUCAAGUGGAGUGUGGUGUUGCAGCAGCACUACAAUGGAGGGUCCCGUAUGGCGAUGGCCUUCUUGGUGCGGUGCAGUCUGCUUCUAUCGGUUCCCUGUCAACGCAGGGCCACGCCUGGAGGCAUGCCUGGAGGUUUCGGCGACUACAUGAGCGUGAAUGUUGGUGGGUGGCGCGGAAAAGCUUCAGCUCUACUGCCGUUGUCGGGCGGAGUUAAAUCUGCUUGAGAUGUGUUGAGUUCGGCGCGUGUUGAUGUCCCAAUCCAACCGACCGAUGUGUUAUUAAGUUGAGUUAAGUGCAAUGGCGUGAUGCGGUAUGUGUUGAUGAUCCAAUCCAACCUGCCGGUGUUUGUGUUGUUUUUUCAUUUGUUGUUUUUGCCUAGUCUGAGCUUCAUCUUCUUUUUAAUAUAAUCGGCAACUCUUCCGCCUAGUUCGUUUAAAAAAGCAAUUGGAUUGAGGUAUCAUCGGUGGCUCAGUUAGCCUCUACUCUGUAUGAGGCGGUACCACGAAGGAUAAGGCGUAAGCAAACAGUCGAGCAAGACCUGCUGAAUCGACGCUGGAUACGUGCAAUUCAGGAAUCCCCGUCCGUCCAGUCAAUAGUUGAAUACCUUGGGCUAUGGGAGCGGAUUUCUGAUCUACACUUAGCAGAUGAAGAAGAUGUCUUCAUUUGGAAAUGGACUGCUAACGGGCAAUUCUCAUCAAAAUCUGCCUAUGAGGCUUUACACCAGGGAAGUGUCGAGCGAGACGUAUCUGGAAAUCAUGAGCUCCUCCAAAGGUAAAAUUUUUCAUUUGGCUGGCUUCAAGGCGGCGGUUAUGGACGACGGAUAGGCAGCGUCGUCACGACCUCGAUGCAACGGAUGAAUGUUGGUUUUGCGAUCAAGAGAAGGAGAUAGCUGACCACAUUCUGGUAAACUGUUACUUUGCGAAAGAAAUCUAGUGGGGAGUCCUCAACUCAUACCGUUGUGUCUGUUCCUUUCCAAGAGCCAUACAUAUGCAGGAAUGAUGGAGCUUCAUGCGUCAUCGAUACCAGCAGAAUAGGAAAAGAGGAUUCGAUUCCUCGCUCAUGCUCAAGACCAGACACAUAUGGAAAGGAGAAAUGCAAGGUUGUUCAAAGAUGAAAGCAAAACAACAAAGGGUGGUGCUGUAGGAAGCCGCAUUGGGAGCCUCUCGCAUUGGUAGUCUGAUACGCGAGUAAUCAUCAUAAGUGUUUGCGCUCUUUCUUGUUUUGAUUGUCACCUGAUUUUAUGUAAUAGUCUCUUUUAGAACUCUAAUUUCAGGCGUUUGCAUCCCGUGUAACACGUUGUAAUCCAUACUUAUAACAUAAACUCUCUUCUGCUUAAUACCAAGAUGCGUAGAGUUCUUGCAUGUUCAAGAAAAAAUGAUAACGGGAGGAUGAGCCGGAGAGCAUAUAGGCAACGGAGGUUGUAAUAUAAGCCGGCUGAAAAAUUGAAAUGGCUGAUUUGUUGUAAGAAAAAAAUAAUGUUCGGUAGCUGAUAAGUCGGCGGAUAACCUGAGCUGAACAUAGUGUGACAAUGUAGCGGCGAGCCGGCGGCAGACGCGCAAAGCAACAGCAAGGAACCUUCGACUUUGGUGGAGUCCCCCGUCACGGCGUCACGUGAAGACCACCACUCCACCAGCAAUAAACCAGCCGAGGGCCCGAGCCCCUCGCUCGGCGCGCCUUCAAAGCUCGGGCUCCGUGGCCCGUGACGCCGCCCCGCGGUUCCCGCCCUAGCACUUCGCUUGGCGCGCCGCCGCCCCGCUGCCUGUCUCCAGCUGUCGUCCGAAGCGCAGCUCUUCACGCAAGCCUGCCGGGCCAUGGGUUUCCUGCGGCCAACGGCAAACCGGGGUCGUUUCGUGUGUUCUGCGCUGCCCGUCGCGCCCACCGGCAACUGAACUGACAGCUCCCAAAAUGUCCUCCGAUGAUUAGUUGCUUUCACGACGUUCCAGCUUUGUUAUCGUGAGAAAUCAGUAGUUGUUCGACCAUUGCCGAUCCCGUAGCUCGCACUAGAGGUCGAAAUACCAUCGGCCGGCUUGGACCACGGAGUACGCUCGCGUUCCUCUACCGGACCAGCAGGUGAGGCUGCUCGCGGUAUCAUCCAUCGUGCUACGACGCACUGGGCUGCUGCGACAGCUACACGGACGAACGAGAGCAACACUUCAUCGUUGUGUUGGAAAGCAGCAAAAGACAGGCGCUACGAAUAAACAACGCCCGACUAAAAUAACUUCAGCAGCAAGGUUUUCACGACUGCUCGCCACGCCAAAUCGGCGCUGCACGGGCACGAAGCCAGUGGCCACGAAAGUAGAAACGGGAAAGUGCCCGCUUUCGGCAAAGCCCGGAUGGAUCAUGGAUGGAUGAAUGGCGGUUCAGUCGCGUCGCCCUCCCGUUUGCUCCUCCGCGCCGUUUGCCUUGCCUUGCAAGAGAGCCGUCUCAUCCCCAAUCACGACUCCUCGUGAUAUCCUCUCAUCUUUUCACGAACAGACUAGUCUAACGGUCUGAUUGCCCGCUAAACUAAACUUACUGUGCAAGGAGAAUGGCUCGUGCGUGGUCUCCAUCGCUUUUUGUUAGCUGCGCUCCGUCCCUUUCCAGCGCAGUUACACCUAACCGAAUCCAGGAGCUUCCGGAUCAUGCGUUGAUCCGCGAGCAAUGGCCAAGUGCUGGAUGCCGGGAGGAACAAGGUAUCACUGCAGGCGGGUGCCAAGCACGGCUCACCGAACCCACUCCACUUGCGUUGCGUGCAGGGGUACACUCCUCGACAUGAACAGUACCGGAUGCAACAGUUGGAACUGCUGGGUCGUACAAGUGUGCAACACGAUCUAGCGGGACAACGACCUUGAUAAUGAAGCACCAACAGAACUACAGAAGCACUUUGGGUCACUGAGAAAAUAGAAAAACAUUAUCUUUUAUUAUAAAAAGGAAAAAAUAAUGUACUGAAUCAGCAGGAAGCCAACAACUCAGAUUCGCAAAACAUUCUAGAGGAAUCAGUUUAUAAAAAACAAUUAAAGGUAACGCUGAACCUGAAACAGUUAAACCUCUGCCGAAAGCCCGAAGCCCCCUGUUAACAGCAAUAAAACAAAGACCCAGCACCAAACAGGUGAGCACGAAGCACGCGUGGACGAGGAAGACCGGGGAGUCCACGGUCAUUACUACUGAGGCAGCAAGAAAACAAAUCUGCUUAUCCCGUAAGCAAUAUCAGCAGCAAGCAUCCGCCGCCGUCCCCACACCCAACUCCACACUACUCCAAACGCGCUCCGUUGCCCAACCCGCCGGCAGCCAAAGUACAGCAGGCAUGCGUCCCUACCCCUGAUAUCCCACCCCCACCACCACUCCGGCCGCCUCUCCCCCAGCAAACCCCAGUAUCCCACUGCCCCAUAGCCCACAGCUCUUCCCCAGUUCCCUUUCCAUCCAUCGCCCUUGCGUCGCCGGAAGAACGCCGGAAAAUCGCCCCGCGGCCGCCGUGCCAGAGGCGUCAAUCGGCGCGGCGGCAUUUGUUGCUAGCUAGUAGGCGGGGAGGGGGGCAGGAUGAGCAUGUACGGGAGGGACCCGUGGGGCGGGCCGCUGGAGAUAUGCCCCGACUCGGCCACGGACGACGACCGCAGCCGGAACCUGGACAUCGACCGGGGCGCGCUGUCGCGGACGCUCGACGAGACGCAGCAGAGCUGGCUGCUGGCGGGGCCCGGGGACCAGGGCCGCAAAAAGAAGAAGUACGUCGACAUCGGCUGCCUCGUCGUCAGCCGCAAGCUCUUCGUCUGGACGCUCGGGGUGCUCCUCGCCGCCGCCGUCUUCGCGGGGGUCGUGGCGGGGAUCGCCAAGGCCAUCCCAAGGAGGCACCGCCCGCCGCCGCCGCCAGACGACUACACCGUCGCGCUGCACAAGGCGCUCAUGUUCUUCAACGCGCAGAGAUGUGAGUUGCUGCUCUUUUCCUGCACUUCUGUUUCGUUUGGGGUUUCGCGUUUUCUUGUGGGAAAUGCUUGUGUUUUUUCUUUCUUUUUUGUGUCCGCAGCCAUUACUCUGGUGAUUCGAGAAAUUUAGGGCCUGGUUUGGGAAAUUUUGGUAUAAAAAAUGGCUGAUUUUUUAGACAGCGGACUGUUUUUUACUCGGUAGUAGAAUUGUAGAAUAAUGAUAGAUUAAAUUUUUAGUGGUGGUUUUGACGAUGCUUUGCAUCGCCUGUUGGAAAGCUGGACUUUUUAGUCGUUUUAGCUAGUUAUAUUCUCGAUUCAUUACCUGAAAUGGGAGAGAGGACGAGCGCUCCUGGUUCUCUUAUCUUUCAGAUCUGUCCUUAAAAAUGCCUAAACUGCAUUUUGAAGAUUGAUUUUCAAAUGUGAAAUGCGCAUUUCAUUCAUGUCCGCGUUCUUCAAAUUUGCUGCAGCUGGCAAGCUUCCGAAGCACAACAAUGUACCAUGGCGUGGUAACUCUUGCAUGAAGGAUGGGCUCUCGGACCCGGCAGUACGGAGAAGCCUGGUCGGCGGGUACUACGACGCUGGCAAUGCCGUCAAGUUCAACUUCCCAGCUGCCUUCUCCAUGACCCUCCUCAGCUGGAGUGUCAUUGAGUACAGUGCUAAGUACGAGGCUGUUGGAGAACUUGGCCAUGUCCGUGACAUUAUCAAGUGGGGAGCAGACUACUUCUUGAAGACCUUUAACUCCUCAGCCGAUAGCAUUGAUCGUGUCAUUGCGCAGGUAAAAAUAAAUCACCACAAAUAGAGAUGCGCUGGGUGUUAUGUUCUUGUCCCACCAGGCCAUGCUAAUCUAAAAAAUUAUGGGGAGGGUGCAGGUGGGAAGUGCUGCAACGUCACCUGGUUCUACACAGCCCAAUGAUCAUUAUUGUUGGAUGAGGCCAGAGGACAUCGACUACCCACGUCCAGUGGUCGAGUGCCACGCCUGUUCGGAUCUUGCUGCUGAAAUGGCUGCAGCAUUAGCUGCAGCUUCUAUUGUAUUCAGGGACAAUAAGGCUUACUCACAGAAGCUUGUACAUGGUGCUACCACUCUCUUCCAAUUUGCACGGGAUCGGCGUGGCAGGUAUAGUGCAGGUGGUUCAGAUGCUGCAAAGUUCUACAAUUCAACCAGCUACUGGGAUGAGUUUGUGUGGGGUAGUUCAUGGAUGUACCUUGCGACUGGCAAUUCGUCAUACUUGACUCUGGCCACACACCCCAAGCUUGCAAAGCAUGCUGGUGCUUUCUGGGGUGGUCCGGAUUAUGGUGUGUUCAGCUGGGAUAAUAAGCUCACUGGUGCACAGGUAAAUGUCUUAAUUUUAUCUUGCCUAAUUAAAUGUUGAGACAUUCCUUACAUGACCCGCUGGCAUUUAGUUUGGUUGAUGGUUUAUACAUGGUACUGGAGUAGUACAUUUCGUUAUAACAUCUGCCCUAUAUGUUGAAUCAUUAUUUUUCUACAAGUAUACAUCAACUUGCUCAGCUGUGGUAGUAAUUUAGUGCCAGGUCAACCUCCUGUCAUAUUUAAGGUACUAACUAUUGUUAAACAAUAGGAUGAUUCCAAUUAUAGAGCAUGUGAGUCAGGGUUUUGUUGAUAUAUUAAGGGUGAUGUGGGCACAUCUUCAUUGUUGUCCUGUCUAGGCCUGUGCAUGCAUAGCACCCUUUCCCUUUACCCAUAGGUGUUAAUUAGAUCCGGACCAAUAGGUACAACAUGCUAGUGUUCAUCAUUUAAACAGGCAAUGUUGUACUAAUAGCUGGGGUGUCACACUCUUUCAAUCUCCAUGCAGCAUUCUACUAUAACACAACACUCUUUAUAACUUCUUUUUUUUAAGAAAAAAACUCAUGUGGUCAUGUGGUAAUCGAGCCCUUUUUCUAAAUAGGAAAAGGUAGCAUUUUUUGUUUGCUGUUGAACGAAUAAUGGCUUUUGACAUGCUUGUCUUACCUUUUUAUUUAUCUUCAAUUCCAGGUUCUUCUAAGCCGGUUAAGGCUUUUCUUGAGCCCUGGAUAUCCGUAUGAAGAGAUGUUGAGGACAUUCCACAACCAAACUAGCAUUAUCAUGUGUUCCUACCUUCCCAUCUUUAAGUCUUUCAACAGAACAAAAGGUCUUAUAGCCAUCAACUCAGUGUAUUACACUAUCACUACUGCUUUUUAGAAUAGUUUACUGAAAAUUUUCAUUACAGGUGGUUUGAUUCAGUUAAAUCACGGGAAGCCACAGCCUCUUCAAUAUGUGGCCAACGCUGCAUUCCUUGCUUCUGUGUUCAGUGACUAUCUUGAGGCUGCAGAUACCCCUGGGUGGUAUUGCGGCCCCCAUUUCUACUCUAUUGAGGUUCUUCGCGGUUUUGCAAGGACUCAGGUAAGCUGGUAGCAUUUUAUACUACAAUCUUGUUCCAGCAGUUUUUAACCCCUGAUGCUAAUUUGUUCCUUCUAUCAGAUUGAGUACAUCUUAGGAAAGAAUCCUUUGAAGAUGAGCUAUGUGGUAGGGUUCGGAAAACAUUACCCCAAGCAUGUUCACCACCAGGGUGCUUCGAUCCCCAAAAACGGUGUUCACUAUGGCUGCAAAGGAGGGUGGAAGUGGAGGGACACCAAGAAGCCAAACCCGAACAUCAUAGUUGGAGCUAUGGUCGCUGGCCCCGAUCGCCAUGAUGGAUUCAAAGAUGCCCGCAAGAACUACAACUACACUGAAGCAACGCUGGCGGGCAAUGCUGGUCUAGUCGCAGCAUUGGUAGCUUUGUCCGGUGAAAGCCAUGGGGUGGACAAGAACACGAUGUUCUCUGCAGUGCCGCCCAUGUUCCCAUCACCUCCACCGCCAUCAGCACCAUGGAAACCAUAAUGGCUGCGAGUAUCUGAUUCUUUUGUAUACUACGUAUUUUAGACUAGAGUUUUCUUUGUUGUAACACUACUGUGGAGAUCUAACAAGUGAAGAUGUAGCCAUUGCCUUGUUUUGGUUUCUUUUUCAGUGUUGUAUAAUCGCCGUGCUGUGUGCUAUGGACUAAGUUGUGUAUGAAUCUCUAUGUUCUACUAAUUCAGUGACAGAUUCCAAGGCAAUUUGUGGGAACUCUUGCAUCAGUUGAGUUCGAAAAAGCAGCAAUUGAUUCUCCGGGGAUCUGCGGGAACUCAACGUGGUUGUGUUUCCUGGACACUUGGAUUUUUCGAAACUCCUGAACAAGUAUUGCGAUGGUUUUGCCGGUUUCCGGCAAGGAGUAUCCCCAGGUGCGUCUUCACCUUCCCACCUCUUCACUCUGCAAUUCCACUCCCUCCCGAGACUCGAUCUCAGGAAGUCAGGAUGCCCGUUCAAUUCGAUUCAUGCCGUAUCCCCUCCGCGGCGUGUAAUUCUCCCAUCUCGUGCUGUAUCUUGACCAUAUGGAGCUGUUGGAAAGAGUGAAACCCCCUCCUCUCCAAUCUCCAUCACUAGUUCACUACCCCAAACUCCGGUGAGCUCAGAGACCUCCUAGUCCGAUCCUCAUCCUCUCCACGAUGAGUAGUAGCGGCGCAGCAGCAGAAGAAGAUGCGGCUGAAGCUGUCGGUGAAGGACGACGACGAAGUCGCCGCGAACGUCGUGCCGCCGGUGACCGUGGUCCUGGACGGGCAUCUGCCACCGAGACCACCUCAACCGGCAUGCCGGGUACCGCAGCCUCGCGGGCGCGCUCCGCUGCCUGUUCGUUGACGCGGACGAAGGCCAGGGGGAGGACGGCCUCGACCGAGCCAAUGCCAUCCCGGGCCACGUAGUGGCGUACGAAGACAUGGAGGACGACCUCCUCCUCGCCGGCCAUCUCAAGUGGAAGAUACAGCACGGGAUGGCCGCCGCCGCCCGCCCGCCCGCUCUGGGCGGAGAAAAGGAGUAGAGGAGGGCGCGGAGCAUGGAGUAGGCGGAGGAGAGGAGGAAGGUUGAGACGAGCAUGAGUACGGACACGGCGACGAGAAGGCGCGACUGGACACUCCGAAUGUGUCACCGGGCACAGCUUGCCAGCCAAUCUAUCUCGUCGGCGGCGAACGGGAAGGAGAGCGCUGCGUCGCCGUGGUAAGAGAAGAACAGAACUACGAAAGGACUAGUUUGUAAAAUAUAGGGAAACAAAUAGGGGUUUUAUGAAAAUAAUUGGAUCGCGAUUCGAUCCAAUUUAGGAGGUUUUAUGUAAAUAAUCGGUCGCGGUUAUUACACAGGAUCCGUUUUAGGGGGGUUUGUUUAAAUAAUCGGAUCACGAUUAGUAAUCGCGAUUUAGUUUAGGGAACUUUACGUAAAUAAACGGAUCGCGGAGAACAAUCACGAUCCCAAUGAGAAUUUAAUUUGCAAAUUUUGUGACCGCCGUCCACUCUGCGAUGCGACCUGCCCCGCCGGCGGACGCCCGGCGUCUCCAGCAAGCCCGCGGGAGCCGCAUUGGCUUCCGGAUGGAUAACCCGUUCGACGCGAAGGUGCUCCAGGUGCCGUCGUCGGCAGAGGACGGCAGCUGGUGGCAGCGACGGGAGGCUACGCAGGACGGACCGUCCGACGGUGGUAGUCGGCAUCCGAAGGGGAGAGUAUGCAUACGAUCUGGUAACGCCCGCCUCCUCCCCUUGCCAUCAGUGCCGUCUAUUUGGUUCUUUCCACAUGUUCAGUCAUGAUGUUCAUUUUUUUUAAAUGAUGAUGAACUUCGUCAAGGGGAAGUCUUUCACCCCUGAUAUGUUGGUAGGCAUAGUUCGAGCAAUCAGUUGCUGUUUAUGUUUUAAUAGUUUGAGACUAAUAUUUAGGCUCAUAUAUAGCCAAAUCAUUUGAAUUCUGGUCUUAUGCUGCACAAAAAUAGGGAAUAGGGAAAUUUUCAAGUGUCAGCAGUUACUGACUGAAGUAGUGAAACUAGUUAGGUUCAGCAACCUAAUAUCUGAUGAUCAUGGUGGUUUGUAGUACUAACGAUGGUUUUAUGGCAUAUAAUUAAACCUUUCCUGUUGAAGUUUCAACUCAUACAGGCUUUUCAGACUUUCAGCUUCUCAAGCUAUAUCAAACUCCAGAAGAAAGACAGCUAGAUGAGUUUUCAGCGUUAUGGUUAUCUUUUCUAACAUCAUGUAUUUUAAAUCACUGUGUAUAUGAAUAUACGAUCAUUAUUUUGCCAUCUUCCUAAUUGCUACCCCACUGUGGUCCACCUCAGAGCAUAAAGCUUAUUGUAAUUAAUAAAAGAAUUAAAGCAAACUUGGGUGAAAAGUAAGGCCUGUUUGGAAAGGGGUGUUAAACUUUAACACCCCCACUUUUAACACCUUUUUAACACAUUGGCUCCCAAGCAGGAGUGUUAAAAGGUUGUGUUAAAGUUUAACACUCCCAAUUUCAUAAACAUAUCAAUGGGGUGUUAAAACUUGAUAAACUUGUUAAAAGUGGUACCCCUCUCUACUCUUUCCCUAAUUGCCCCCCUUUCUCUCUCCUCCUCUCUCUCCUCCCUGCCGCCUGCGCAUCCUCCCCUCCCGCAUCGCAUCCUCCCCGCUCGCCGCCAUCUCCUCCCGCCGGCAGUCCAUCCCGCUCGCAGGUCCUCCUCUCUCUCCUCUCCCUCUUUCUCACAUCCUCUCUCUCCUCUCGGAGGCAGCGGCGGGCGGCCGAGAGCAGCAGUGUGGCAGCAACGUCUGGGGGGGAGCAGCGGGCACAACAGCGGUCGGGGAGGAGUAGCGCGGCAGCAGCGGCCAGGCAGGCGUGGCUUCGGUGGCGAGGCAGGCUUCGGCGGUGCGGCUUCGGGGCAGGUGGCGGCUUCGGCGACGGGCGCGGGAGGCAGGAGCAGCGGGAGUGGGCACGGGCGCGGAGGGCGGCUCUGAGCGGCGCCGACGAGUGGCCGCGCGGGAGAGCCGGCGAGCGACUUCUCCUCCACCACCGUCGGCCCCUAAGUGCGGUCCCUCCGUCCCCAAUCCUCUCCUCUGCCGUCGGGCCCCACGCAAGAUCUCUUCCGGCGCAACUCCUCCCGGAACGGCCCCCGCGGGACCUCCUCCGUCCUCCUCCCUCUGGCUCACCUCCUCCCGGACCGGCCCCUGCAGGACCUCCUCUGGCCUCCUCCCUCCGGCGCACCUCCUCCCUCCGGCGCACCUCCUCUGGAGCACCUCCUCCCUCGAGCACCGGCCGGGUGCCCCAGGAGCACGGCCGCUACCUCACAACGCCGUCGGGUGGCCCAGGAGUAAUGAGGGGCAAUAUUGUCAAUUUCAACCUAAGAUGUUAAAGUUUAACAGAUCAUCCAAACACCCCAAUUUGUUAAACUUUAACACUCCAUUUGAGGAUAGUAUCCAAAUAGGCCCUAACAAUACUUGUGGCAGAUGAAAAACAAGAUAAAUCUUUUGACUGCAGUAGUUUAUCUUGUUUUGGUAUUUGAAAGUACGGAAGGCAGGCUUGCCACUACAGAUCGUUUCAUACAAUUCUUGCACAUUUGCAUACUUACUCCAUCUGGUCCAAAAUGUAGGUCGUUUUGGCUUUUCUUGAUACAUAGAUAUUGCUAUGCACUUAAAUAUAGGGUUAUGUCUAGAUUAGAAAAGUCAAAACGACCUACAUUUUGAAAUAGAUGGAGUAUUUUCUUUUUAAUAUGCAUAUAUGAACACUUACUACAAGAACAUACAGCUAGCCACAUACUAACCCAAUUUGACCAUAAACAGAUUGGUGGGUCCUUGUCAUGUUGCUACUUGUGAUAGUACCAAUCUAUUGAAAUCUUUGUGCAUCUUUUCUCUAUUGAAACCUUUGUCUCAAAACUAGAUUACUACAUGGUGAGACUGUCAAUCUGUCAUCCUGGGUGGGCUGAUGUACUUCCCCCUUUAGCUCUUAAAUAUUCCAUGCACAGUUUUAAAAAGAAAACCUACAUUUGGCACCCCUUAGUAUUUAAUGUUUGCUAUUGUCCCCUAAGGAAUGAUUUUUUGGUUGUCCCUGUUAAUUACUAUUUCUAACUGUGGAAUGCAAGGUACAAUAGAAUAUACAGGUGAUGGAUCUGUUUGUAUCUUUGGGCAUCCGGCUUCGAAAACACACAGAGGAAACUGGAAGAGUUGCUCUUUAAACUUAGGCAAGUAUUGAAAUAAUCUCUCGAAUCAGCCUUUGUUUUUGAAGACCGUAGUUGGACAUGCAAUGGUCAAAUUGUGUUGAAUUUAGUUUAUAUUUUUUGAGUUUUUUAUUAAAUAGAGAUCCAAUACAAAACGAAUAUAUUAUUGCUGUCUGUUUAUUCUGCUGGUAUCUGGCCUAUUCUUCUUCAAUUGUAAAAAACCUAGUCAGCUAUCUCACAAAAGUCUUACAUGAAACAAAUGGUGUCGCUGCAAGAAAUGUUUCAACUUGGCGCGGUACCAGCUAUCUUGCACCUCUGGUUGGAGCCUUCUUAGCUGAUUCGUAUCUGGGGAAGUACUGGUAACCCUAAUCUCACAAUCUUUGUUCUUGCUAUGUGCUAAAUUUGACCUGUACUGUAAUUACUGUAAGUGGUAACAUUUAUGUCAGUACACUAUCCUCAAGAAGAGUGAACUCAGACCCUUAUCGAAAGUUUGAAACAAAUAAUUUAAGAGAUCAUAACUAUAUUUGAAGAGUAGUAAUUUUAUGUCAGUCACAUAAUAUAAUAGUAUUGUGGCAUUAAUAUAGACAAUAUAAGAGUUAGUUUGGAUUAACCAUUCCCAUGUGGGUUGGAGGGGAUUGAGGGGGAAUGAACUAAUAUUCCCCUCAAUCCCCCCGGUCCCCUCCAAUCCACAUGUGGAAUAGGACAUCCAAGAAGCCUCUGGUUUCUCGGAGUACAAUUUUCAAUCACACUUACCUGCUUGUAGCUUAGCGGUUGCACUUACCUCAGUAGCACCUCAGGUCCCGAGUUUGAAUCCCCGUGGGAGCGAAUUUCAGACUGGGUAAAAAAAAACAUCACUCGUUGGUCUCCCUAGUCGGCAUGGGUGAGACCGACAUAUGGUUGGCGGGCCCUCAUGUACUGGUCAAGACCCGAACCACAAGGGCUGAAUUAUCCAUGUAUGAGGGGUGCCAGUACCUUUCUCAACUAGGCUCCGGUUGAGCUCUUCUUGGAGAAAUAUCGUGGAGCGGUCUUUCCCCCACGGGCCAGGUUUGUUAGUAUUAGAUGUGCAUUCAACAUCCGAGAUCGAAUUUCUUACCGUGUUAUCUUCUGUUGCCCCUAUCCUGUUUAUUUAGGGAAUGGGGAUGUUGAUUCUGUCAGCAGCACUCUCUACUGGUCCCCAUAUUCUGUUUUCUUGGACAGAUAUAGUAUCAUAUCAGUUCAUCAUAGUUUGUUGGCUUGUACAUGGUUGUUAUAGGUUAUGGUGCACUGAACCCUUGUAUUACGUCCUUUGGUGCUGAUCAAUUUGAUCAUAAUAAUGAAGAGGAAAGAAACAGAAAGAGCUCUUUCUUCAGUUGGCACUAUUUUGCACUCAGUGCUGGCUCGUGUGGGUACAAGAACAUGAAGGCUGGCUCUGGGGUUUUACCAUCACGGCACUGUUUGUGGCUCUAGGUCCAAGUAUUUUUCUCUUGGGCUUUCCUGUACAUAGAUUUCAGAGAAUUGGAGCAAGCCCUAUGACAGGAGUAUCACAGGUUGUUUUUGCAGCUAUCCGCAACUUCAAUAAAGAUUUACCCCAAGCGAUUUUUCACUUCUUUAUGAGCUUCCUGAGCAAGGUUCAUCGAUUGAAGGAAGCAAGAAAUAAAAGCAUACAGCCGGACUUAAGUAACAUUCUAUUAUGAUAUUUCAUUCCAUACACUUGCAUUGACUUGAGUUUGCAUUUCCAUAUAAGUUUACUUAGAAAUUUUUAAAUAUAUAUGACCAUUUGAGAUUAUUCUAAACCUAUAUUUGAAACCAUGAAAGGAAAAGGAUUUCUUGUACUUGGUAGUACCGUAUUCUAGAGUCUACAGUCCAUGUGUUGAAACUAUAGGAAUGUAUUUGAUUCUGCUUUGAUUUGCCUGUACCAUAUGACACGGUAUGCAUUUGUUAUGCUUCUACAGUUCAAACUUAUGUCAAUACAAAGGCCACAAGAAGAUACCCAAUCAACCUAAAGGGGUGUUUGGAUAACCCCCGUUAAACUUUAGCACCUGUCACAUCGGAUGUUUGGAUAUUAAUUAGGAGUAUUAAACAUAGUCUAAUUACAAAACUAAUUGCACAGAUAGAGUCUAAUUCACGAGAUGAAUCUAUUAAGACUAUUAGUCCAUGAUUUGACAAUGUGGUGCUACAGUAACCAUUUGCUAAUGAUGGAUUAAUUAGCCUUAAUAGAUUCAUCUCGCGAAUUAGACUCCAUUUGUGCAAUUAGUUUUGUAAUUAGCUUAUGUUUAGUCUUUUUAAUUAGCAUCCGAACAUCCGAUAUGACCCUGAUAAAGUUUAGCACCUCGUAUCCAAACACCCCUUAAGUAUUUCCACAGAUUAAAAAAGAAAAUUCAUAGCGCAACCAAGUGUAUUUCUCAAUUCCAAGCAGUGAUCCUCUUUUUCCUCUUGCAGAUUUUUUGAUAAAGCUGCAGUUGUGGUAUCAUCUGAUUGUGAUUCUGUUGGCCUGCUUGAAUCAUGGAUAAUGUGUGUACUGUGAGUCAAGUGGAAGAGCAUAAGAUUCUGAUUAGAAUGCUGCCUACCUGAGCCACAAUGAUAUUCUUUUGUACAGUCCUGGAACAGAUGUCUUCGACCUUUAUAGAACAAGGUAUGGUAAUGGACAAACACAUCGGCUCUUUUGAAAUACCUGCAGCAUCCUUCCAAUCUGUGGAUAUCAGAUCUGUCCUUGUUCUCGUUCCAGUCCAUGAAAGAAUCCUUGUUCCGGCAUUUAGAAGAUUUGCUGGCAUUUCAAAUGGCAUUACGAAUCUUUAGCGGAGGGGGGGGGGGCGCUUACAGAUUGCAUAUGCCAAAGGUUAACGUUGACAUCGCUUUUUACCAGAGUCAACCAAUGAGAUAAGGUUCUGACAGCCGACGGACUUGCAGAAGAAAGUCUGUUGGUGCUCCUGUGAUGACCAAGGACAGAUGACCAGUUCUAGACGUCGAUAGAAGCCGAGGAGAAGCCGAUCCGGUGGAGAAUCAAUUUUACCAAAUAAGGGAACGUGUGAAGGUUUAUCUUUAGUAGUUUUAGAUGCGUUUGUAACGGUCCAUGUCUUAACCAACUAGGAUUUUAGUUUACUCUAGGGUAUAAAUAUAAACCCAUAAGCCUUGUAUCGAAUAAAAUCAUUAAUCAAUCAAUACAACCUUUCGGCGCCACGUCGCUAAAACCUUAGGUUUAGGAGUAGAGUCUGCACCGGCUUCGAUCUCAGGCGAGCUUGUAAGUACCGUCACCCGGUCAUUACGUUAUCUGUAUCAGAACUUUCCAGGCAUCAUCCACUAUUCUAAUCUCUUAUCGUGUGGCUAGUUAUCGAGUUGCUUCGAUUGCAAGUACAACCUUUUAGGCUUUGUCCAAAAUUCUAUUUGACUUCGAUGUUGCUCAUAAUUAUCGAGUUGUUUGGUUUGAUUAAGUUGUAUCGUAUCGAUCUCUUAGUUUUAUCAACGCUCAUAGUUAUCAAACGACUUAAAUCUGAUUAGUUCGUUCUUAUCGGCUUCCUAGUCUUGUUUAAACGUUCACCAAUUAUCGGAUCGUAUCAGCUCGUUAGAUCUUACAUGCUUUACUUGUUUUACAUAUGCUAGGUUCGAUAGAUCUUUACCCUUGCCCCUCACAUUGCUAGCCGUCGGAUCCUUAACAUCAACAUGCUACCAUUGAGAGCCGAUGCAUCGGUUGGGUAUCAUACAUAUCUCUUAGAAAUGUGACAACGUUAUGGAGCCUUUAGCUGUGCAUACGAGGCCUUGCUACCGCAAGCUAGUAUGUUACGUUGGUGGGUCGAAGUUAAUGCCCUCUCAGUCAUAAUACCUUGGUUAUCCAAUCUAUGUCUCAUGAUAUUAAUUAGAUCCGUUAGCUUAAUCGGCUUCUAAGUGGUAGGCAAGAGAUCUUUGCUACCGUGCUUUAAGCUUUUAGAUUAAUAGAUUGAAGUUAAUACCCUCCCAGUCUCGGCCGUACUGUUUUAGUUAAGUCCAAUCUACGUCUCAUGACACUAAUUAAAUCUGUUAGUUUAUCUGACAUGUGUAUAAUUAGCACGAGCUCCUUUUAUGGCUGUUGUUUUACAUUGCAUCUAUUUUAGCCCGUCAGCUCAUAUAGCCGAUGGCACAUGUCAUUAAUGUUCCUAUUUUAUUUGCACCAUAUGAUUACAUUUGAAACCUGACUGUUAUGGUGUUUAUUCAGAGUAACGCUUAUUAAUGAGCUCGAAGACUUAGCCACCUAUCGGGUCAGGAAUUUAAUGUUUCCCUUGUCAAUUUCAGAUCAAAUUGACUGGCACGUCUUGCACCUUCGUGAGUCGAUUUGGAACCUACACUGGAAUUAAGCAAAUCUUCUAGAUCCUCCGUGUUGUUCAACACAGAAGCAUGAAGUUCAGAUUUUACGUUAACAAUUAUGUGUACCGUGAGAUGAUUUUCUCUCGUACCGGUGUUCAUCGCCGGAGGGGGCAAUCGAGAGUGGAUCCCUGAUAACUUGAACGAAGCGCAUUUGAUCGGUUUUACUGGGUUAUGGCUGGGCUCAGUUUCCUAAUUCUGGUAGCCUUUAUGUUAUGUGCAAUAAGGUACAAGAACCAAAGGGCUUCCUGAAGUCCGUUAAUGUGUCAAUAUUAUAAUGGCAAACAGCAAUCUUUGGUUUGGUUUACAUGUAUGCCACACUGUCAACAUCAAAACUAAGGGGGGUGUUUGGGAGGAGGGGACUAAAUUUUAGUUCUCGUCACAUCGAAUGUUUGGACACUAAUUAGGAGUAUUAAACCUAAACUAAUUACAAAAAUAAUUACACAACCUCUACGCUAAAUCGCGAGACGAAUCUAUUAAGCCUAAUUAGUCCAUGAUUUGACAAUGUGGUGCUACAGUAACCAUUCGCUAAUGAUGGAUUGAUUAGGCUUAAUAGAUUCGUCUCGCGAUUUAGCCUAGGGGUUCUGCAAUUAAUUUUGUAAUUAGCUUAUGUUUAGUUCUCCUAAUUAGUAUCCGAACAUUGACAGGGCUAAAGUUUAGCCCCUGCUAUCCAAACGUCCCUUACACUUGUAAUUUCGGUGAUGCAUGUGAUCUUCGUCAUCCGUUUACCCUCACUUCUCAGUUAUCAUAUCUUUUGCUACAGAUGUGAGAAAUGCACUCGCGAUUCGUCCUCUCUUCCAAUUUCAGUAUACCACUCGCAAUCGGAAUAGGUGCUUUGCAUUUUCUAGGUAUUACCCCGAUGGUUUAAUAUUUUCCAUGAGUCUGUUUGAGCUGACUAGUUAUAGCUCUUCUUUAUAGGAAGUUUGUGCUAACAAGAGUAACAACCAAAAAGACUCGGGCCUACUAACGACAGAGGAAUUUUUUUAUUUUUAUAUUUAAUUUUUACGAUUUUGCAAAAAUAAUGUUGGAUAAAAAUUGCAGAUAUAGACUUAUACAGCCGGUAGACGUUUCAAACGGCAGUCACUAACCCAAAAAAUAAUUAAAAUUGUUAACGCCAUUUGAACCGACGGUAGCUUACAUGUCACGUGAUGUGGCAGGGGGCCCAGAGCUUACCGCCUGAUGAAACGGCUAUAGCAGUUUGAAACGGCGGUAAGUGCCCAUCCCCUUCUUCACCGCCACGCCGCCGCCGGCACCCCUUCUUCACCGGCCAUGCCGCCAGUGUCGACAGUUUGGAGGCUAGCUGUCGGCGUAGCCAUUUCAAACGGCUAUAACUUCGUGUAAUUUUUUUAUUUCAUGAUAUUUUUCCUUAGUUAUAAAAAUAUAUAAAGUUAGAUUGGAAACACUAAAUAUUCGAAUAUAUCAUUAUUGGUUUGAAUAUGAAAUUACAAAUUUUAGAGAGAGAGCGCUUCGAGAAAAUAUUGGAAAUUGAACUACUUCCGGGCCAUGGAAUAUAUAGUUGUUUCCAGCGAAAUUACAACACAUGAAAAUAAAAUUCGUGCAAAACAUACGAACAUCGAUAACUCUAAACUAAACAAUAGAUUGCAGCGGCAUGUGCGGCACGGAUGGCUAUCCUAAACAUGUGCCGUUGCUAAACCAAACACGCCUUAGGUAAUUGAAAUAGUCGGGGAUAGAGCCAUCUCUACUUAUAGUAGAACUGGCUUUGCGAGAGCUGGGAGGGCCCAGCCUCAUAGUAUCCAGCACUCCGAGAGAAAUGCAGUGACAGUGGGUGAUCCUUGUUGUGGUGUAGGGAUACUCGCACCAUGGAUCGGUACAAAUCGGGUCACGUGCAAUGUUAACCGCCCAAGGAUUUGCAUAAACUUCAGCUUGAAGAUCUUUCACCCUAUGCUCGAGGUCAAAGAUCUUGCACUUGAAGUAGUGGAUGUACUCUUAGGUUGGCUCAGGAAGUGAAGGAUCGACCCACUUCGCAUACCGGCAGUUUCCUUCAUCGAGAUAAGACUGAUCAUGAUGUUAGUUUGUAGCAUGAAAAGUUUAGCAAGAGUAAGGAAGUAAUAACCUGACUCACCAAGCCAUACGGGCAUCGAAAGAAACGCCGGCUUCCAUCACCGUAGUCAUCAAACAGCUGCAUGAUGCAAGUCACGCCAUGGUGACACAUUGGCCACGCAUCACGACAGUCGUCAUAAGACCUAAGGCAGUUUGGAGGGACGGAGUUAGCCCUAUCAUAUAGAAGGAAGUCGUCGAGGGGUUCCUCAUACUCGGUUGGGCCAAAAGAACCUAGCUAAGUGAUGGUGGGAAUAAGAGCAUCCCCUCCUCUUUCCCUCCUGCCACGACCUCUCCCUCUUGUGGAUGCCAUUGUUCUUCCUCCUGCUCAGUGGUAUGGAAAGAUACGGGAGAGUGAGGUCCAUAUAAGGAGUGUUGAGAUGGACAUGCACUAUGCCCCCAUUUGUUUAGUACCCCAUCGUGUUCAAUCAUCCUGAAAAAGCUUAGAUAUAAGCUUUGCAGGAGCAGGGAUGCAGGGCUCAGUAUGGAGUCCCAUCUUCCUAAAAAAGCUCCUUUAGGAUCCUUACAGUCUAUUGUGUAGGCUUUUCAGUGACGGUUCAUGUCAAUAGUGGAUUAGCAUUAUUUGAGUACUGUACUAGCAGCAGAACAGCAUAAUAGCAAUAGGGUGGAAUUUGAGUACUUGAAGCAUCGAGACGAAAUGUUAUCACAGUACAAACAAUAGUACAAUGGCAUGUGAGGCGCCCAACAUGACAAACCUAAAGAGCACCUUGCCUAGGAUAAAAUGCCUAAGGUAAUAUAAAUUGGUGGAUCACAACUAAUAUUUUACUGGGUGAACCGGGGAAGUUUCCCUAUCCUCACUUUUUUGGAGGAACAUUCUCCAUCCUGCUUCUUCAUGUUCUUCUGUCGCUCUUCUUCCUAGAGGAGUUGCGCCUGAUGAACUUCGAAUUCUUCCUCCUACCGUUUCAGUGUUGCCUCUCGAGCACCUAACUGCUCGCGCCACCUCUGCAGUUCAUCCUCCUUGUCCUUCAAACAGAUUUGUUGUUGGUAGAUGUGUCGCUCUUGCUCAAGCCGAGCAAGACAUGCCGCCUCUCGAGCCUCUGUAUGCCUAGCAUAGUACUGUCCUUUGGUCUCUAGCUCCACUGGGAUUAUGCGCACCUCCCCUACAGGCCUAGUGUCAAUCCAUUCCAUAAAUGUGCAAGUCUGCAUGUUGAUUCAUGAUUAGUUCUAGGUACCGGUACAAAGAAAAUAUAUUUAAAAUAUUUAUGAAUAGACAGAUCUUAAAAUUAUCGUCAAUGUCGGAACACUUGAAGUAUCUACACCCCUUCUUUCCCUGAGGUAAUCGAUCCUCCCAUACUUGCGACCACGCACGGAAGCCGCAGUGGCAUUUGGGGUGCUCAUUCCAUAGUGGAAUCCCAUUUUAGUCACCCUCCACGACGCCAUUUUUUAGAGGGACAAACAACCUCACUACAAGCGUUGCAUUCGGGUUCGACAAUGGUAGUAGUGCGUCUAAACAUUGCCUGGAUGUCUGUUAUAUAGAACGCUAGUGACAUGGUCCGUCCAUCAUGGUAAAGGAAAAGAACAUGCAUGGACAUUAUAGUUUGCACCGGCCUACCUACCAAAGUCUCUGCACUAGCCUACAUAACAUAGUCUGCAAAUGAGCACACAUUAUAGUCUACAGCAUCGUACACACCAUAGCCUGCACCGGCCUGCAAAAGAUAAAGAAGGCCCUAUGGACUAAAUGUGUCCUUGCUUGUGACGCACAGCACCAGAACCACGUCUCGCGACCCGUUGCGCUGCUCUGGUCUGCAGCUGGUCGUACGUAAAGGGCUCCGGAGGGGCAACCUCGCGACCCGGACGUCCUCUACAACUGGUGUCGCAAACUCCUGGGUGGAGCCCUGUGUCGGAGGCACUGGCGCUUCACCCAACUGCGAAGGACCUAUCUCCUCAGUGUUGUAGCUGAAAAAGGACUUCACCCAGUUUGUACUCAUCCUCUGCAUAUCAUCUUCUACGGACUCGUCAUUGGUCCCUCCGUAUCCUAUGUACGUUGUGAUCGAACCAAGAAGUGUUAUUGUCAAUUUUGAUCCGUAUUAGUAAUGGAAUAGAAUGCAUGUAUUGAUGACGCACCUACAUUGUCCACACAGAGUCCACAUGAAGAUGGUCCUCUUGCACUAAGUCUUCCGAAGUGUUGCGGCAUUGUGUCAUGAAAUUAUAAGUUAGUACGACCAAUUAGAGUAGAAUUGGUGAAUGGAAAAUGAGAAAGUAAGGACCACAUACUUGUGGGGGUGUGAAAGACUAUGGACCCGAUGCAUAAGUGGAAGGACCUGGUUGAGCUGCUGCCCAAGACAGUGCACGUGGAGGAGUACACGCCCCGGGGGAGGUUGCAUGUGCUUGUACUGCAGAAGAUGAUGCGUGGUACGCUGAUCGUGUGGGUGCAGCAGAAGAGGAACUGGGGUGCUGCGUAGGUGGUGUUGAAGAUGAACUGGUGUAGGUAGCCCGUGGUGGAAGUAGAAUGUUGGCGUCACCACCACGGUAGCUGACAGCCCGCUGAAACCUAGCACACACGGUCAUGAUCCUCCUGUAUAUCGACUCGUGCUCGUGCGGGUUCAUGUGCAUGUAAUUCUCCAUGUCGGUCCACGCUGUCGCCUCAACUGCUGCAAUAACAUCGUACUGAUGACAAUUACAUAGUUCAAGUUGGGCACAAAAUAAUCCUACAAAGUGCAACAUAACCCAAUAUAGUAUGAGUAGCAAAUGAUGGAGAAGCGUACCGCGAUGUCGGAGUAGCUUCCUGGAUUCCUCUAGCAUAUGGUGUGCAACAAAGCAGGGAGGUUAUCAUAUGAUGCUUCUUAUUUACCCCACUUCAUCUCUAACGCCUUCUGCUUGGCUCGGUAAGCGUUACUGUAGCUAAUUUUGUACUUGAACUUCUCCUCUAUGGCACAAAUAGUUGACUUGGGCUCAUAGCUAGGAUUCUCGACUAUCUGAGGAUACAUGUAUUGAGCAACAAAAUCAGCUGUGAGGUUGCGGUAUUGUGCUUCCAAUUCAUCCAGCACGCAUUCGUGCUCCACCUAUCUAGUCACCUCCCAAUAAUCCUUCCACUUGACACACGUCAUAUAUUGUCGGGCUGCUCUUCACCACCUUGAACUGUCGUUGCAAAUAUAAAGUCGAUCAUCGCUUUAUAGCUGCCUUCACCUCAUCCCCACUAGGGUACAAAGCACCGACACAAACCUCAUUUUGCCUGUACUCCCAAAGGAUAUUUUCCCCUUCAUUGACUGUUAGGUUCGAAUGGCCAUAACUUGACCAGUUCUACGGGAUAGGAUUAGCAUCAUUCUCAUCCAACGAGUCAUCAUCCAUGGCACGAAGGUGCUCUUCUCCUUCCCUCUCUACCUGCUCAACUAACCUAGGGAUGUGUUCCCCCUCAUCGGCCUCGCCAUUUGGCUCACAGGGUGCCUCUUCGUCCUCUGCAUCUCCUUCUUCUACCCCUUGUUAUCUUCUUCAGUUUGCCAAUCGGUAAUAUCUAGACCUUCCUCGCCUCUAACUUCCCCACCACCAACUUAUUCUUGCAACUGACUGCUAGACCCAAUCUUUUGGAACACUUCAACAAACAAUAUCAACGGUAAAACCACGCUCAAUAAUAGCAUUUUACAUAGACCCUCCAGUUCUGGGUUCCUUCAAGCGGCAUCAACUCCCAAAAUAUUAUGUCAGUUCGAAACCUCACUACAGUUCUAACAGAUAGCUCAACUUGAUCUCUAUCAAGCUUGAAAGUCUUAAAUAGUCAGUUGCAUAUUGAUGCCCAAGUCCUCUCUCUUGCUCUUGGUACUUAUUUCCAGAACGACUUAAAUUCAGAUAAAUCUACCCCUUUUGAACCAUAUCUAAGCUCCUUGGGACUAUAGAACACUUGAAAAAAUAAACUAUCCGACAUGCCUGUCAAUAUACACGACAUGAACAGAUAUUAUUACUAAAUGUUAUUAAUUUUAACUAACUCGAACAACACCUACGUUUAGAAAACUAUAUAAAAUUAUAACUCAUGCAUUGCUAAUAAUAUUAAUUUUAGAGUUAUCUAAUAUAUCAACAAAUUAAUUUUACCUUACCCUGUCAAUAUACACAACGUCAAGAAAGAUCAUUACUAAAUGUUACUAAAUUUAACUAACCCUAAUCACACCUACAUUCCGAAAAACUAUAUAAAGUUAUACACGACACUAACAAACAUUAUUACUAAAUGUUAUUAUUACUAAAUGUUAUUAAUUCAACUAACCCCAAAACACCUACAUUGUUAAUAACUAUAUAAAAUUAUAACUUGUGCGUUGCUAAUAAUAUUAAUUUUAAAGUUAUCUAAAUAUAUAAACAAAUUAAUUUUACUUUACCCUGUCAAUAUACACGACAUCAAGAGAGAUCAUUACUAAAUAUUAAUAAAUUUAACUAACCCUAAUCACACCUGUAUUUCGAAAAACUAUAUAAAGUUAUACAUGACAUGAACAGACAUUAUUACUAAUUGUUAUUAAUUUGAACUAACCUCAAAAAUACCUACAUUCUGAAUAACUAUAUAAAAUUAUAACUCGUGCAUUGCCAAUAAUAUUAAGCUUAAAGUUAUCUAAAUAAAUCAACAAACUAAAUUUACUUUAACCAAAAUAACUAAGCUAAAUCCACUAUACCGGCAAACUAAUAUUUAUCUAUAUCUCAUAUGUACACCUAGAUUUGAUCUAAUACUUAACACUACACCAUUUAUAAAUCAUAUCGACUACUACAUCUAUUAACUAUGAGUUAAGAUAAACUGCGAGAUUUCAAAUAAUAGCUGAAGUGAAGUGCAGAUCCGGCAAAGCUUCGCUUCAAUCUCCACCCUCCUCCUCUCCCUCUCUUCCCCCCUCCUCUCCUCUCCUCUCCUCCCUCGCUUUCUCUUCUCUUCUCCCCAAAUGAACCAGCGCACUUCUGGCCCGACCUCGGCCGUUCUUCGCGUUUUAAAGGGUGGGGUAGCCUACCGCCGACUGAUUCGGUGGGAUCUUCCCGCUCCUGCCGUUUGAAUCGGCGGAAGGCUGUUACCGUCGCUUCAUCCGGCGGUAACCAGCUACCGCCGUUUCAUCCAGCGGUAAGUCUGUGGGUCCCUCGAUCGCCAGGACUCCGUAUGCUGCCUGCCGUUUCAGACGCCGGCAAGCGGUUCGCCCCGCUGCCUCCUGACUUGGCACCACGGUGUCGCAGGGUUGCUGACGUGGCGUCCCGUUUCCGAUUUUUUUAUUCGUUGCACAGGUACCGCCGGCUGAAACGGCAGUCUUACCGCCGGUUGAAAUGGCGGUACAUCCCGCGGCAUACGUCUAUAUUUGCUUUUUUUCCUCUGCUAUUUAUUUCUGCAAAAUUAAAAAAUAUAUAUAAAAAUAAAAAACAUCAACGAUAGAGACACAGAGUUAAGCGUUGGGCCGAGGCUUUUCAAUCCUUCAAUUUUGUAGCCAGAUGGGCCUACUACUUUGCCUAGCCCAUCUCAUUGUCGUUGUCGUCGGUUGGACUUUGGUGAUGACAUAAUAGCCCAUGACGUCCUCGGUGGCGGCACAGCCGCUGCUAGUGCCGGCAACGCGCGUCGGCCUCCGUUCCCAGACGACACGAGGGCGCGCGCAUCGACUCGUGUCGUCCGUCGUGGAACCCGGAAACGUGCAUGUGCGUGGAUCGAAGCGCACCGGGCGGAGCGGGGAGGAGGAGGGAUGACGGGUGACGACAGGCAUCGCAACCGUGUGCUCGGCGGCAGCAGGUGCUAGCACUAGCCCGAGCACUAGCACUAGGCACUAGCACGCCUCCCCCAGCACCGGUGGCCGCGCCGAGACGGCAAGGGCACCGCCGCUGCCGCAGCGGGACGCCGCGCUCGAGGAGAACAGAACCAAACCGUACAGGCUGCGCCGCAACCGCCGUGCCGCGGAAGGGAAUCCGUCAGCCGGCCCGGCCGCGGAAGCAGGCGCGCGCGCACACGGUCUCCCACGCGCGGUUUGAACCCAUCUUCGCCCGCCUCGGAGCCCGCGACCUGACGAGAGAGGUGGCAGGUUGGUGGAUAGACCUUGUUUGUUUAGUCCUCUUUUUUCCAACUUUAAUAUUACACAUCAAACUUGUAGUAUGUGCAUGAAGUAUUAAAUGUAGACGAAAUUAAAAAUUAAUUGUACAGUUUUAUUGUACUUUGCGAGACGAAUCUUUUGAGUCUAAUUAGUCAAUAUUUGAACAAUAAUUCAUAAAUACAAAUGAAAUACUACAAUUGCGCAUUUAUGGCAAAAUGCAAAUUUUGUUACUCCCAAUUUGAGACUAAACAACAAGGCCUUAGGCUCGUUUGGAUCGUUUAGAUUAGGAAUAGUGAUUAUAAUAAUCUGAAUUUUACAUAAUAAUAAUUUAAUAUAUUUGAAUUCUAAGAUUAUGAUAUGUGUGGAUAGGGGAUGGGGUUUGGAGUUGUCGUAUAAUUGUAAUUCCAAUUUAUAAUCUCCAAAUAACUAAAAAUAAAUCUCAACGCGUCUUAAAUUUAUUGUAGAGCUUAAAAAAAAAGAGAAAGACUUCCAAAUACAUGCGGAUCCUUUUUAAUGACCUGCCGAUAACAAGAAACCCACUUCAACUAAAUCCUCAAUCAUCCAAUCAUGUCAACUCGGGAAUAAAUGAGCAAUUGUUCAAAUACUCCCUCCGUGUAGGAAAAGGAAGUCGUUUUGGACAGCGACACGAUCUCCAAAGCAUUACUUUGACUUCUUAUUUUUAUAAAAACAUUUAUCCAGAAGUGAUAUAUGUAUAUUUUUAUGAAAGUAUUUUUCAAGACAAAUCUAUUUAUAUGGCUUUCACAUUUCCAAACUCAACAACUUAAAAAUUAUUCAUGAUUUAUAUUCCCAAUGUUUGAUCUAAACCUUGUCCAAAACGACUUCAUUUUCCUAUACGGAGGGAGUAUGUCUAGAGAGUAUUAUAUUUGAUGAUAAAUUUUGAAUAGUUAGACAUAUUAUAUCUCACGACAAAAGGGAGUGAUUGACUUAGAUCCCCACUAUUUUUUUUAUUUAAGUUUUGAUACAACUUAAAUAUGAAUAAGUCGAUUUUAUUAAAUUACUCCGAAACAUUCAGAAGUAUCUUUGGAAGUUAUCCAUGGCCAACAGCAAAGGUACUGCUGUCACUCGUACAUAAAUCAUUGAAAAGUUACAAUCUACUCCCUCUUGCUACAGUUACAAAUGUACGUCCGUUUCCAAAAUAACAAUUUGACUUCCAGUUUUUUUAUAAAAGAAUAUGAUUUUCGGAAUGUAAGUCCAUGACCAGCACCAAAUGCCAAGGCCCCCCUAAGCCAUGUAAAUUUCCAGUAAAAAUUUUAAAUUUUGAUACUUUAACACUACUGCCCCAUAACAAAGUAAAAUUCGAAAUUCUAACUCCACCUUUGGUUACUUGUUGGGAUCAAGUAAAAAGAAGUUUAACCGGCUAAAAUCCUAAAAUUACCUACAUUUGGAGUCGGCCUAGAGACCAAAAGUGACAUACGGCAGAUUAUUUUCCUAUUAAUAUGACAAUCCGUGGAUCAAAAUAGAAACAUGAGUACAAGCAAAGCAAGUUGCAGACCGAAAUGAGAAGAAAAGAAGCGCACCAACCCUUUAGUUGUAUUGUACUGUACUGUACAGUAUAAGCACAUAGCAGUAGAAGUAUACCCUGCGUUCGAGCGCGUCCGAUCGCUUUCGAUCGACGACGACCAGCUCACUGAUCGAAGACCACCGCCGCGCGACAAGGGUGCGUGCGGGUCACUCCGUGGAUAUACCCUACAGUUGCAUAAUGCGUCAUGGUGUUUAGCUGUUACUACUGUUACUCGCGUACGUAUGCGACUGUGGUCUGUGGAUGGCCGCCCACUGUUCCGGGUCGCCAUGGUGACACCGGCUCCACAAUCCGGGCGCCCAGCACAUGCCUCGGUGAAUCAGUGAGUCCCCCAUGCUGCAUGCAUGCAUGAACGACGAUGAUCCAUCGAUCAGCAGUUCAUCACUCGGAGCGGAGGUCGGCGCAAGUGUGCCGUACCACCGCGUACGCGCGCCGAAGAGGCAACGCAAUCGACUCCCUGACGCGAGUGCGCGCUUCUACCGCGCUGCCGGCAGACGGCACCGUGGAACACCAAUCUGUCCAAAAGAGCAUCAGCUGUUUCCUCAACGAAAGGGGGAGAUCAGCCCGCUACAAAAUUGGUGUUCCAGUCGAGGGACCAGGCUAGCCGAUGGCGCCGAACUCAAACUCCGUAGGGCGGGGAGAGUAGGUGACGUUUGAUGCCCAACAGCCCAAAGCUUGUUAGAAAAACAAAAACAAAAGGUGCGCAUUGUUGACACUUGACAGGACCAAGAUCGGGGGGGAAAAAACAGGACGAAAUCAGAUCGCAUCACGCUUUGACAAAGCUUUUGCUGACGAGAGAUAGAAACGCACGAAUACUGUAUCACCUAACCUAUCACUAACCUAGAUGGACACGAACGGAUAUCUGUACGUGCGCUGGCGCGGCGCGCUGGGAUCGCGGAACAGAUCUCGGGUCACAGAUUGCAGCAGCACCAAGUGGUGUUAGCGAUCGGAACAAGACGAGGCUCCUCUCCGCAGGAUCACCCCCAAUCUUAAACCCACAUGCAGGUCAGGUGCCCCCGCGCGAUCCGCAUCCGCGCCACGGCCACGGGUGGCGACUGGCGAAUCCGGAGGGGGACAGGCGAGCCCAAGGGACAACCGGGGGCCGCCGCACAUGCCGGCACAUGCGCACGCACAGAACUAGCCGCGGCACGGCUGCCGGGCCGAGCUGCCGAGCCAAGCACCGCCUCCUCCUUGCUCACGAACACGUCUCGUCUCACUUCUUCAGUCCUGUCCUCCUCAUGCGGUCCUGCCCUGUGCCCUACCACGCUGCGCGCGUACGUGUACGCAGUCGCAUGGGCUCCGCUGCGCUCGCACGCGCGCCCCGGCCCGGCCCGGGAGAGCAGAACAGAGGACAGGAGUGAGGAGCCGGAGGCCGGAGCCCCCAGCGGCAGCGGCCGCCUUGCUCAGCGGCGUGCCUGGCAGGCAAAGGCGCAAAGCCGUGGGUGGGUGCGGUGCGGGGGCGCCGGGCGACACGCGGGGUCCCGGGAUGUGAUCGCCGGGCCCCGGCGCGCGUGGCGCCUAGCGCCCGACUUGUCCCGCUCACAGCGCGCCUGCUUGUCCUGAGCCCCUGAGCGCGGGCACCCGCAUAUGGCCCGCCGGGGCGGUGGGGGCGCGCUGCUAUUUGCUCGGCAGCCACAGCCCACAGCAGAGGCGCAGAGCUACUCCUACUAGUGCAGUGGGAUGCAGAUGCUACAACAAGGAUUAGCCCCGGGCCGCGGCCACCGCUGCACUAAUGACCCCGAUUUGGUCGCGGCGUCGGGUUUGACCGGGGGUGUUUUGCGCCGAGGGCCCUGUGUUUUAGCGGAUUGUUUUCCCGCGCCGGGGGGUAGGUACCUGCACUACUAGUCUAGUAGCAAGUGUUGUUUUGUGGAUUGUAUUCUUUGUGGAUUCGUGCGCGGCCUUGGCGUCCGCGCCCUGCUUUAAUUUUGUCGUGUCUCGCCACCUGUCCGGACCUGUUCAUUGGGUAACGAUUGCCGGCUGUGUGCAUGUGCAGGGGGGAUUCAGAGGGCUUUACAGGCUUUAAUAAGUUUACUGCGAUGCGAUGAGCCUACGACACUCUAACAGUGCGAGGGGCUUUGACAGGAAAGACUUUGGAACGACCCCUCGACUUUUCAAAAGCGACCUUUGCGCAAAAUUUGCCUGCUGAUUACGAGCCGUCAUCGGCACCCUUGCAAGCCAAGCCAGAGCUUGAGCCAGCUCCAUCAAAUCAAAUCCACAGCUUGAAGGGAAUGCAUCGUGCUCACAAGUUAAACAGCAGGCCAUGACACAAGAACGCCAAACAGACCAAAACAGAUGCAUCAGCAAUGGUUUCAGAUUUUUGUUUUUGGAGCUGGAGAGACGGUUUCAAAUUUUGAAACGGGUCAAGAACUGUACCAUGCCAUGACACAAUGACGCCAUGCAUGUGUGCAGGCGCAGGCAGGGAGGGCCCCGCGAGAAACCGGUACGUGCCGGGGGUGCAGACGCAGCGGACCACCAGGGGCAGAGCAGACCAGGGCUACGGCGCGUACCGUGCGGUUGAUGGGCUUGAUAAAAGCUGGGGGCACACUGCGCAGGCCACAUGGGCGUGACUCGGCCCUGCCACCGUGGGGACGCCCCCCACCUUUUUCACCCGGCCGCCCGGGUGUACGCGUACGUGCUGAGUGAGAUGUGGCCGCGCGCGUGAAACAUACGGACACGGGAGACACUGGUCAACUCCAGUGCGCGUGUGUACUGCGGUGCCGGUACAGGACGCCGGGGUCGUGCGUGACAGCAGCCACGACCAGGUACUCACUCCAUCAAUGGAUUGAGACACAGAUCUUUAGUCGCGGUAAUUUAGCAUGAAAUGUCCGCGGUAACGAAUCCACACGAUGUUUUGCGGGAGAGACACAGAUCGUCUAUGUGAGCGUAGUGGGGCUCGUGAGAGUCAGUGACAUGUGAGCUCUGUGCUACGCUUGCUGCUUCACGGCAGGAGGCCCCCGACCUGGCUUUCGUCGGAAGCGCUACGAAACAUUUGGCAAAGCCGAAACUUUCCUGUAGCGAACGGGACCAACACAUUGGCGGGCGGAAAUGGCUAACGAAACCAGCAGAAAAUCGGGACGGAUCACAAAAUCUAACGCCUUUUCUAAGGUUUGGCGUGAACAGACAUUUGCUUUGGGUGGUUGGGGCUUGGGAGCAUAUAUAUAAAUCCUACAAGUCAGUAGUAGUUCACUACUGCAUUGUUAGCGGGAUCAUUAGUUGCGAGAUAACCAUCUUUGGACAAACAACACUGUCCCAGAUGCAAAGUUCAGGGUCGCAGUCAAGGUUAUCAAAAUGGCAACCCAGAUAGUGGCGUUACGAUCACAAGUUCACAACUCAUAACACUUGUGAUAAUAAGAAUUACGAGUCUUAUCGCCGUAGAAACAGCUGAGGUCGAUGGAGAUCCUGAGAUCCAUCUCGGUAUCUCACAACACCAGCAACAUCAGAACACAGUUGAUAGUCCCUAUUGAUGGAGACCCAGAAAAAAGGAGGCAGCAAAGCACAUACAAAUUUCCUUUCUCACUUUACUUUGAUUCUUUCUGUAGAGGUGUCAACUACACUGGGAUCCACUCAACUAGAUGAUAACAAAAGCAAAAUAAUCACAUAUUUUGUGGCCCCCUGCCUCUGCUAAUCAGGGGAUGGUACUAAAGUCUCUUAAGAGACAUUAACAGAGCAGCUACUGAAGAUGAUAAACAUAUGAGAUCUCACACAGCUCUUGUAAUAUACAUUAAGCCCAUAGGAAUGGCUUGGGAUCUUGCAGUUAAAAUACCUCACAGACCACUGCCAUGGCCAUGUGCUCCUUCUCCAGUCCCUGGCCCGGCCCCUGUAUACAAUAUCUGCAGCUUGCAGCAGGCUGUAGCUGUACUGGUGUUACAUGUGACCUGUGUGCUGUGGCUGGUACCAGCAUUGUGGAUUAACCUCACAUUUAGUAAACCUAGUGGAGGUGGCUGUAGUUGCAGAGUACAUCAAGGAUCUUGAUACAGUAACAUCAUUUGUGCUGAUGGCAUCAAACUACUGGUAAAUACUAAGGACAACUAGUAGUAUAUAUGUCUUCUAAUAACUAGGGGUAACACUGGAUUACUUGUCUAUAUAUAUAUUAUAUAUCCGGCAAUACUGCAUAUGCCGCCGUUUUCUUAAUCAAGGCUAAUGGCAUCUUCUCUUGUGGUUUAGUAGAGCUAUCCACUAACACGGGGGACUAAAAUGAACAAAAGAAAGGGAGCUAACACUAUGCUGACACUUCACUCCUUUUUCCCUAUAUUCCACCAUCGCUUUUCUUGGCUUCUCGUAUUCCUGUCACAAACACACAAACAGCGAAAGGACAAAGAAAACAAAAAAAGAUAAGAGAGAAAGG